UAUCUAUUCUUGGAGCAUUAUGUGCCAUCAUGUGGGUUUUGGCCGGAGCUAGAAUGUUGGGGAGAGCUAUCUUCUCCUGAAAUUAUAUAUAUGGGAAGUUUUUGUUUGUCUGGGGCACUGGUGUUAGGGAAAUUGAGAAUAGAAGCUAAUCCAUUAUUUAGUUUCAAGGAUUCCAAUAUUCAAACGUAAAUUUUGAAAUGCAAAGACGAAGUUUUUGUCAUUAGGGAGGGGUAAGUGCUCCAGAUAGCAACAGGAGGCUACAUAUUUCCUUUAUAUUGUAUGUCAAUCUUGAUGCGUAGCUGCUUAUUUGUGUGUUCUUUGUACAAUUGUCCACGUUCGCUAUUGAUUCAGUUCAGGUUCUAGUGUCUCUGGGUUGUGUACAUAUAUAAAAAGGGUGGGGUGUUAGGAUUUUGUUGUCCUUGUGGUUAUAUUAUGAUUAAAAUUUUCUUGAAUGGUGACUGACUAGCGAAUUU
rnacentral:misc_RNA from 1 species